ACGGAGGGUGCAAGCGUUAUUCGGAAUUACUGGGCGUAAAGCGCGUGUAGGCGGCCCUGCAAGUCUGAUGUGACAAAUCAAGAAAAAAAAAGGUAAGUGCAUUGGAAACUGCAGGUCUUGAGUACUGGAGAGGAUGGGGGAAUUCCCGGUGUAGAGGUGAAAUUCGUAGAGAUCGGGAGGAAUAUCAGUGGCGAAGGCGCCCAUCUGGACGGUAACUGACGCUGAGACGCGAAAGCGUGGGGAGCAAACAG
rnacentral:rRNA from 1 species